rnacentral:rRNA from 1 species
CUAUAUGGAGAGUUUGAUCCUGGCUCAGGACGAACGCUGGCGGCAUGCCUAAUACAUGCAAGUCGAGCGGAGUUGUUUUGGAAGCUUGCUUCCAAAACAACUUAGCGGCGGACGGGUGA